rnacentral:lncRNA from 1 species
UUUAAUCUUGACCGUCCGAUCGCGAUUAAAUUGGAAAUGAAUUUGGGUCAUCCAUCGCGAUGCGAUCUAGGCCAUCCGUGCGUGAUUCAAUCUAGACCGUCCGCACGCGUGCAAUCUGGGCCGUCCACGCGCGCGGGAACGGAUCUCAGCCAUCCAAUCGCGAGCACGCGGAUCGCCCACGUGGCCCGUUCCCCGUGGCCUUCCCGCAUCAGCGUCUCUGCCACGCGGCAUGUCCUGAUUGGCCGGAGCUGCUGACUGG